CCGGUAAUUCAAUUAAUAAUAGAAGUUAUUUUAGCAUUACCCAUCACGGGAUCAACCAAUUCGAAUUCCUCGGGACUACAAAUUACCACCAAUCUAAUGUGUUAGCAGCGAGGUAGCAAAUAUAAACGAAAGAUCUUUGAAUGAUAGUUAUAUACAGCACGUAUAAUUUUGUAUUCGAACGACAUUUGUACAAUGUGGGGUACACCAAUAACAAAAUGAUGCGAAAUGGUACAAAUAUUGCUCUUACGCAAACAUUUUUAUACCAUCUCUAGAUAACGGAAGCGUUGUUUUGAGAAUAAGAAUUUCUGCCACAGUUAUGGUUUAAAGUGUUUUUCUUUUUCUUUGUUAUUAUCAUCCAGAUGUGAUUUUUCACACUGUUUCUACAUUUAAUUAGAUUUGACAUUGUACAGGUGGUAAACUUGUCAAACCCGUACUUUGGUAAUCUAAUACUGUGGGGCGACAGUCGUAUUUGUAAAUUUUGCGUUAAUUGUAAUGACGGCAUAGAUGUGUGUUUGUCAGCUCCCGUUUAACCUGGCGAAAAUAAUCAGUUUACUUUCCAAUACUCGAAGCUAUAGAUUUUCUACACAGAAAUUUCUCCCCGGCCCGCCAAUGGCACCAUAGAAUUACACACAUGCGCAGAUGUGCUUUCAUUUCCGUCUAAUACUAUGUAUACAUGCCCAGACACAAGCCAAUAAUUCUAGACAUCUGUUUGUUAUUGUGUCUGCUCAGGUCCUCUUCACUCUCAUACCGGCAAUUUGGGGAUUUAUUGACGAGCUCAAAAUUGACGGAAAGUUUCUUUCAACAAAAUUCGUUAUAAGGGAUUUUUCGCGCAACUCGAGACGUUACAUACGUAUUACUUAGAUACAUUUUAAAGACAGAAGUUGUUGAGCUUUCCAAAGACCAAACACCUUCGCCAUUCUCAUAGUACAGCUUUGCUUGGACCACUCUAGCCGAGAUAUUAGAAACGAGUCCCUUUGAUAUGAAGUGCGUGAAGCAAGUGAAUCUGCAUUGGAUCACGCGCAUAUCCAUUUCCAUAACGGCGUUCGCUGAUGGCAAGCAGUCAUCAUUGACGGUGAGUACCUGUACGUGGUGACGAUACCGACGGGCACAUGUAUUCAAUGAAUGUACAUAGGUUGCACAUUCUCGAGCGGCUAUGGGAAUGCCUAAGCACUUCAGAAGAUCUUGAAAAGAAGGCAAUCUCAUCGACGUGCCACUAUGAAAUCUCUGUCAAUAAGGACAAAUUUCUCGUGUUCGAAGAAAACACGCUAAUUCCCGUUUACCGCUUUCAAGAAAUUGACAGACCUUAUGCUUACAUCGCAGGUACACCGGUUUGAUGAUCAGUGACGGAAAGAGCACGUUACAGGGCAUAACUUUGCCUUGAUACUCAAGUUAUAUAAGUUAAACGGAGCGUCAAAUCUCUUGCGCAAUACGAGUGUGUUCAUUUGAAGCAGUACAUAAUGACGGAAGUAUAUUCGUGUUUGGCAGUGUUGUCAUCUCAGGCAAAACUGCGCGAAUGGGAUACGCGACUUGGGCCUUCAAGCGCCUACAACCUCGGCAACAACCAAAGCAAAUCGGCGGCCGAAUCGUCGCGGUUUGUUUUGGAGCUGUUCAUCGGUGAUGAACAAGAUUACAACGCGCAUAUAAACGUUUUGAGCUGUUUUGCAUUCUGUUAUAGACACCGAUACUACAAUCGUAGUAUAUCUGCAUAGGGCCAAUCUCAUAUUCGAGCAACAUGUUCAGUGACAUGAAAGCCUGGGAGUAUUGCAAAGUGAAAUUUGAUGAUUUGUCAUUACACUAAGUUCCCAUCGAUACUGGAUACUGCUUAUUCAUUGAGUUCUAACGUUCUGUUCAAUUAUGAUGUUUAGUGCAAACACAAUAAACAUCAUCAGAAAUCACUAGGAAUAAUGAUACUAAUAAUAAUAUGGCUGUUUGAUUGCGUAACUUGUUUUUAUUGACUUUGCCUUGUACCCUGUAUUUUCGACCAGGCUUUAUUUCAAGUCUGGGGUAAGACUACUGCUGUCGUAUUUCAGGAAAUGUCAAAUCGCUUAUAAUGAUAUAUUAACUCUCAAAGAAUCAUUCCGGGGUCUGGUUAUCGAGAUUCUGAGUAGAAACAUUGUCCACUUUGCCUCUAAUUUGAGCUGUAGUCUUCUCUCAGGGUGGGGCAUAACGACGAGUUAUCCGUCCACGAUUUAGUUAAAAAGCAUUGUUUUAUUCUGCUUUUGAAGGACUAACUAGGCUGCGAUCUUUCUUAUUCGUCAAAAAAACGAAAGCGAUUGAA